AAUCAACGCUGGCGGCGUGCCUCAGACAUGCAAGUCGAACGCGAAAGUCUCCUUCGGGGGACAAGUAGAGUGGCGCACGGGUGAGUAACACGUAGGUAAUCUACCUUCGGAUGGGGAAGUAACAAUCGGAAACGGUUAGCUAAUACCGCAUAAUGCAGCGGCACCUAAUGGUGACAGUUGUUAAAGCGGGGGAGUCGAAGACCUCGCGUCUGAAGAGGAGCCUGCGGCGGAUAGCUAGUUGGUAAGGUAAUGGCUUACCAAGGCUACGAUCCGUAACCGGCCUGAGAGGGCGGUCGGUCACACUGACACUGACAUACGGGUCAGACUCCUACGGGAGGCAGCAGUCGGG
rnacentral:rRNA from 1 species